rnacentral:lncRNA from 1 species
AAACAGAUGCUCAGGAUCUUCAACUUUGUAGAACUCGAAGAACCUGACCAUUUGGUCGCCGAAGCUUGACCGUCGAUUCCUCGAAGCUCGAAAACAAAUCACGAUCUAAUUGCAAUGUGAAGCGAAGACGAACAGACACAAGCAAACAAACAUAUAUUUAUGCAUGAGAACAUUACACCAUUCAAAAAAAAAACAUAAUAAAACAUGCAAAAAUAGAGCUCGCUACUAUGGUCACUCGACGAAAGGAAACACGACAGUCGGAGCUAUGAUCGAGAAGUUAACGGGUUUACGCUAAACAAAUAUUAACUAUAGCAUUUAAUUCGACAUUAUCAACUAUAAAUAAUAUCUGCCAUUUAGUUUCGAUUAAUCUGCUAUACUAACAAUUGUCAGUUAAAUAAGUAAUUAAUUAUCACGAGAGAUUUUAAGCGAGGCGAAUUUACGACACACAAAACAACACGACAACGUGCAGAACGACGCGUGGACACGCACGACAUGCACAAACAACGUGCAACAAUGCGCAUUACACGCAAAAACGACGCGUUCGUCACGCGCGAAUGACGCGUGGCGACACGCGACAAGGUGUGCGACGUGCAAAACAAUGCACGGCCACACACGACACACGCAAACGAUGUGUGACAACGUGUGCGAACAGCAUACGCGACAACACACGAAAUAACGUAAGAACCAGACGCACAAACAACUUGACGACGACGAGCGCCACAAGUGCGAACAGCACGCGCGACACUCGUGAACGACACGCGACGACAGCGCGAAACAACACGUGUGACACGCAAGAAAUAUUAAAUAGAUGUUGUGUUUAUACUGAAUAAGUAUUAAUUCAAAAACAUUCGAGUAUGCACAAUUAUAUAACAAGUAUUUAUAAAAUGCAACUAAAACUAUAAAUUAGUUUAAUUAGAUUGCUACUUUAAUAAUUGUUGGAUAUAUAGAUAAAUAAUUAAGUAAAACAUGCAUCGCGACAAAAUAAUUGCACUAAUACGAAAUCGUUGAUGUUACGAAGUUGACGCGACAAACGAGUCGAAACGGGUUUACGACGGACAGGGGUGGAUCCAGGAUUACGAUAUAAGGGGGCCAAUGAAUUCAUCAAUACUAUAUGAUAAAAAAUAUUGUAUAAUGUCAUCAAGGUUGAGCACUCGACAUGGAAUAAGAAUUCUAAGUCUUUAUAAAUUAUCUUAGUUCAUGAGUCCAUUUUCUAACUAAUUGAUAUAUUGAACUAAAGUUGUGACGCAAGAAUAAUACCAAAAUAAUAAAGGCGACAUAACGAUGAAUAUCCGACUGAUGAGAUUCAACUUUUAUAUAAUGACUCUAGUAUUCAUGAGGCAUCUAACAAAUUUGUGAGAGAAUUCAAAAAUCAAACUAGCCUCGAGGAUCCAUGAAAAUAUGUCAACCUACGCAGGUACAUAUCAAAUUUGUCGUGUACACACCAACUAUCAAGUGACAACUUUAGUUGAAAUUUGUUGAUUUUAUUAUCCACAAGAUCUAGUGUAGUAUGUAUAUAAGUUGUUGGCGCUCAUUAUGCUACUUCGUGUGAUCACCUUUGUUGGACUUUAGUUGUGGGGAUAUGUCAGAGGCAAGUCAAGUGGUCAGCAACAAUCGGCAGCUGCCUAGACAGAUGAUAGGAUGAAUCAUAAAGGGGUGAGGUUCAGAUAUCAUCGUCUACAAGUGAAUUAGUUUUGGCGUUUCAUGCAUGAUUGGUCAUUCAACGAAUAUUUUAUCUUAUAUUCUUUGUCUCUUUUAGACGUUGGUUGGCAUAUACUACAACAGAGUUAUGGAUCAUAUAUUCCCGGCCACUAUAUUAAACAUUUCAUUAAUUAUGUUGCACAAAAUUUGGAAUAUUUAUAUUUAGAUACAUAUAAUUUAGACUAUAUAUAUAAUUCUCUUGUUUGUGUCUCAGCCUUCGGAGGGGCCAUGGCCCCUGCUGGCCCCCCUUGGCUCGACCCAUGACGACGGAUAAUAUAUCGAAUAAAUAACAAUCUGCGGAUUAUAAACGACGCCACAUAUAAGAACUGCUAAACACACGUCGCAAUCACACUAAGUAAUAUUGAAUCAAAACAUUUGAUUAUUAUUAAUCAUAUUAACAUAUAUUUAUAAAUGCAUAAAUUAAAACUAUAAAUUAGUUUACACGACUAAACAAUGUUACUAAUAUAUACUCUACUUAUUAUAAAGUUAACACUACUCAAACGGGUCGAAGCAGAUUUAUAACGCAAAAAGAUAUGAAUAGUUACCGAAUUGAGCUAUGUGGCGCAAUAUGAUUGGUUGAGGGAUUAACCACAUAGUGGGCCAUAAGAACCUAUCCAAAGAAGACCCUGCACGGUAGAAGUGGCCAAAGAAAAGGCUUAAACGUUGCCACGUUCUAUGGAGGGUUGUUUUCAUGCAUGCGGCCAGGAGGUUUCUCACGGCAUGCAUGUGUACAUGGGUGGGCCCACCAGCCGUUUCUCCACACGGUUUCUUCGUUUCCAGGCUCUGCACGGACGAACGAAUCGCACCAGCGGUUCCUCUUCUUCCUUCGACCUUCCUUGGGCCAACCAACACAGCCACAACAAGGGGAGAGAAAGGAGGAAGUUCUCUGCCGUCCCGAUAGGCUUGGCCAUUGGGCUGCUCGGCCACUCGCCGGCGGCUCGCUGGCCGGAGUGACGGCAGCGCACGACCGGGCGCGCAACAAGACCGGGAACGAGGCGUGUAGCGGCACAUGGCUGGGAGCUGGCGUUUGGCGACAUGCGAAGGGGAGGUGGGUAGGGAUGGGCACUUUUUUACCAUAAACCGAAAACCGAAUCGAACCGAACCGAACCGAAAUUUCGGUUUUUUCGGUAGUUCGAUUCGGUUUCGGUUUUUGUAUCUAAGAAGUUCGGUUUUCGGUAUCGUAAUCGGUUUUCACCGUAUACCGAAUCGAAAUACCAAAAAAACCGAAUACCAAACUUUAUCAAUUAUCAAAUUUGACUAUUUGAUUAUGUGAACUAAAUAUGUGAUACAAUUAAAUUGUUAUUCACUUAUUUGUAUGUGAUGUAUGAUGUAUCUCUAAAUAUUUGUACCUAUAAAAUUUUUAGUUUUUAAAAUUAUGUGUAAUCUAUCAUGUACACUUGUUGUAUGUAUUGUCUUGAGUAUAAGUUUGGUAUUCGGUUUUUACCGAAAAACCGAAGUAAAAAACCGAAACCGAACUUCUCGGUUUUUAUUUUCUAGAAAACCGAUCGGUUUCUAAUGUCUGUAAAACCGAAAAACCGAACCGAAGUUUAGAAAAAACCGAAUGCCCAGCCUUAGAGGUGGGACACGGAGCUCGUGGGCCAGAUGCGGCCAGCUAGCGGCUACGGAGGCUAGGGCGGUGCUACAAUGCGUGGCUGGGGCAGGAUGCCCGCGAGUAGCGGCUGCACGACUAGUCCUCCUGUAAGUUGGGUCGGGCCGUGCUGACCCGGCACGGUCCGUUGUGCUUCGGGCUUAAAUAAUUUGGGCCAGGCUAGCACGCAUUGCAUUCGGGUCGGACUAAAUCGUGCUCAUGUUCUAAAAUAUAGGCCCAGCAUGGCCCUAAAACACGGCGGGCUUGUAUCGGGCCGGGCUGGCCCAGACCCGGCCCGUAACUCUGUCCCUGUUCGCGGCCGGCGAGGGCGAGCUCGUGGCCGUCAAGUCGGUCGCGUCGUCACUGUCGCUGUUCGCGGCGGGCGAGGGCGAGAUCAUGGAGGAGCCGUCGCUGCGCUGUUCGUGGCCGUCAAGUCGGUCCGCAUGGAGGAGCCGCGCCAUGCUCGAGGUCCUGACUGCAUUUCUAGAUAUCAUGGAGGAGCCGCGUCAGUGAGAGGAACUAGCCGUGCGUGUCUGCUUUGGCCUCCUGCGAUUCCUCCUCAGUUCGGUUGCUUGCUAGUCGAGGAGGAGCAGGGCCCCGCCGCUGACGUCUGGGAGGAGGACCGUCGCCACCACAGGAACCGAGGAGGAGGAGGGAAGAAGCGACGGCGGGCUGGGCGGCUUGCGCAUGCGGACUGGCAGAGAAGCCAAGGAGCCGCCGCCAGAGAACAGAACGGCUGGGGCUGGAAAUAAAUAUCGCGCGACACAAGACCGCGGCUUCCUAACCCUAAAUCGUGCCGGGCUGGCCCGAGCACGACCCAUGAUGGCGUGCCGGGCUAUUUGGGCCGUCGGGCCACCAGCCGAAGCACGGCCCAGCCCGUCUAACGUGCCGUGCUGGCCCGGUUUUUUCUAUUUCAUGCUGGGCCGGGCUACGUGCCAUCUAUUUCGUGCCGGGCUCGUGCUGGCCCAGCAAGCACGGCCCAAACUUACAGGACUAUGCACGACGACUCAAACGAUGGAAACUAACACAGCACCGGAGAAGAAAGUGUGCUCACCAGAGAUGAAGGGCUCGCCAGCGUUGACGUCGGUGUGGCGACGUGCUGCACAGCAGUAGGGGCGCGACGGGGCAUCGACCAGAUGCGUGUAACAGUGAAGGAGAGGGAGACGUGGAUGUGGGGAGGAGUUGUGCGUGGGCGGUGUGUCAGG